UUGCUGCUGUUGUUGUUGCUGCUGUUGUUGUUGCUGCUGUUAUUGUUGCUGUUGUUGUUGGUGGUGGUGUUGUUGAUGCUGUAGUAAUUAAAGUAGUAGUUCUGCAGAAGUAGGAGUAGUUGUUACUUUCAAAGCAAUUUCUACAAGUUUAAAUUCCUUAACCCUGUCCAAGUGGUAUACCCACUGUUUUUUCUCAAUAUCAAACUCAGCCAGUCCAGGUUGUCAAAUAACAAUCUAUCUGAUAAGCCAAGCAUGUGUUGUACAUCAGAUGUUGGGUAUGUUUGCUGCAAAUCUAUUGGUUAUAAGAUAUAACAGCCUUUUCUAAUUGGCUGAAUUCAAAUACAGAGAGUUUACCUGUUAGAUUGAAACAUGAAACAUGGUGGACAAUGUACUGGUUUAACUUGUUAAAAUAAAGUUAAAGACAUUUAACAAACAGAAGAGUUCAUUAGUUUUUCCAUUAAAAACACUUUCUUAAAAUACUUAUGUAUUUAUAUCAUUUGGAAAGUGACAUGAAAUAUUGCUAAAGAGUGAUGCAUACAGUGUUUGAGCAGUCUGUCUAGGAAUAGAACAACAACUGAAGUUGAUGGAAGAUACUGCAGAGUUUGGCAGGGAAAUAAUCCAACAGCAAAGCGGCUCUUUAAGCGCAUUUACCUAGAGGACUUACAGGGCCACAAAUUCAUGAGCACAUGUGAGCAGUAUACAAUGUACCUCAUACCAAAAAGGACCCGGAGGCAGUGAUUGGUGUUCAAUAUUCUCAGAAGAAAAGGAAAAUGGCAGUGGAAGACUUGGACAAACAUUUUUAAAAACUAGCCUCUGUGUUAAGCCUGGCAGUCUGUGGCUGGUGACAUGUUUUAUUUUGGUUACUUCUUGUAUAAAAAAGACCAGUUAUUUAUUUUGUGAAUUGUAUUUUGUGUUUGUUUUUGGUCUUAAUUUAUUUGUUGUUUUUUUUAAUUUAGGAAUUUGAAACUUGGAUAAUUGAAUUAAGUCCGUGUUCAACAGUACUGAGCAUAGUAUAAUAAAUAACCAAUUUACAACAGUUGUUAAUUUGUUAUGUAUUAUUAUUAACUAUGCUCAGUACUUGAAUACUGGCGGUCUGCAUGGGAAUUUGUUUUCUAGAAAGUUGGUUUCAGACUAAAAUAUUUGAAGUUAACCUUCGGAACUUUUCUAGAAUUGUACUGGAACACAUCAACUAGAAUUUACUGAACUUCUGUUAUCAUACUGAAAGUGUUCUAGAAUUAAUAAGGAACAGUUGUUGAACGUUAAAAUUUAUGAGAAAAAAUUCUAGAACAAUUGUGCGUGAUGUGUGUGUGCAUGUAAUUGUGUGUGUUUAUGAACAUAUGUGAGAAAGGAAGUAUACUUGUCAUUAGAGAAAUGUAAAAUUCUACUUCUAUGUUUUAUAUUGUGCCUUUUAUAAGUUUUUCUUUUCUCACCUGUAUAUGCGUGCAUGUUUAUGGAUGUGUUUUUGAAUGUGUGCAUGCAUGC